rnacentral:misc_RNA from 1 species
UUUUCGUAGGUGAACCUGCGAAAGGAUCAUUAGUGAAUUUAGGGUGACUCUGUAAAGAGAAUCCCGACCACACUAUUUUCACACACUGUGCACUAGACCUUUUUAACUUUCGUUAAAACACUUGUGUCAAUAUCUAGUUUUGUGAUGUACAAUCAUGUUAAUGAAAGUAAAACUUUCAGCAAUGGAUCUCUUGGCUCUCGCAUCGAUGAAGAACGCAGC